rnacentral:rRNA from 1 species
AGUGAACGCUGGCGGUAGGCCUAACACAUGCAAGUCGAACGGCAGCACAGUAAGAGCUUGCUCUUACGGGUGGCGAGUGGCGGACGGGUGAGGAAUACAUCGGAAUCUACUUUUUCGUGGGGGAUAACGUAGGGAAACUUACGCUAAUACCGCAUACGACCUACGGGUGAAAGCAGGGGAUCUUCGGACCUUGCGCGAUUGAAUGAGCCGAUGUCGGAUUAGCUAGUUGGCGGGGUAAAGGCCCACCAAGGCGACGAUCCGUAGCUGGUCUGAGAGGAUGGUCAGCCACACUGGAAAUGAUACACGGUCCAGACUCCUACGGGAGGCAGCAGUGGGGAAUAGUGGACAAGGGGCGCAAGCCUGAUCCAGCCAUACCGCGUGGGUGAAGAAGGCCUUCGGGUUGUAAAGCCCUUUUGUUGGGAAAGAAAAGCAGCAGGUUAAUACCCCGCUGUUCUGACGGUACCCAAAGAAUAAGCACCGGCUAACUUCGUG